rnacentral:tRNA from 1 species
UGGAGUAUAGCUGAGUGGUACAGCACUUGCCUAAAAUACAAGGUCCUGGGUUCAAUCCCCAGCACUAUAA